GGGYGUCUGCCCUUCMSUCUGGGACAAGCCCUGGAAACGGGGUCUAAUACCGGAUACCACUACCGCAGGCAUCUGUGGUGGUUGAAAGCUCCGGSGGWGARGGAUGARCCCGCGGCCUAUCAGCUUGWWGGUGAGGUAAUGGCUCACCAAGGCGACGACGGGUAGCCGGCCUGAGAGGGCGACCGGCCACACUGGGACUGAGACACGGCCCAGACUCCUACGGGAGGCAGCAGUGGGGAAUAUUGCACAAUGGGCGAAAGCCUGAUGCAGCGACGCCGCGUGAGGGAUGACGGCCUUCGGGUUGUAAACCUCUUUCAGCAGGGAAGAAGCGAAAGUGACGGUACCUGCAGAAGAAGCGCCGGCUAACUACGUGCCAGCAGCCGCGGUAAUACGUAGGGCGCAAGCGUUGUCCGGAAUUAUUGGGCGUAAAGAGCUCGUAGGCGGCUUGUCACGUCGGGUGUGAAAGCCCGGGGCUUAWCCCCGGGUCUGCAUUCGAUACGGGCUAGCUAGAGUGUGGUAGGGGAGAUCGSAAUUCSUGGUGUAGCGGUGAWAUGCGCAGAUAUCAAGAGGAACACCGGUGGCGAAAGGCGGAUCUCUGGGCCAUUACUGACGCUGAAGAGCGRAAGCSUGGGGAGSGUACACGAYUAGAUAYCUCUG
rnacentral:rRNA from 1 species